rnacentral:misc_RNA from 1 species
GAUCCCACUGGUUAUGCCAAAGAUGUGCAAGAUCACAUUGAAUAUGGUACUUCUGGAAAAGUUGCUGGAUUUAUAUCUGAAACAAUUCAGGGAGUUGGAGGAGCUGUUGAACUGGCCCCUGGAUACUUGAAAAUGGUUUAUGACAUUGUACGCAAAGCUGGAGGUGUCUGCAUUGCUGAUGAGGUGCAAACUGGAUUUGGCCGCACAGGAAGCCAUUACUGGGGUUUUGAGACACAAGGAGUCAUUCCUGACAUAGUUACCAUGGCAAAGGGUAUUGGCAAUGGUUUACCAUUAGGAGCAGUGGUGACAACACCAGAAAUAGCAAAUGUGAUGGCUCAGAAAAUUCAAUUUAACACUUUUGGUGGGAACCCUGUUUGUUCUGCUGGUGGACUUGCAGUGCUGAGAACUAUUGAGAAAGAGAAGCGUCAAGAACACUGUGCCAGUGUGGGCUCCCACUUGAUUGGCCGCUUGAGAGCCCUUCAGCAAAGACAUGAAAUCAUUGGAGAUGUAAGAGGGAGGGGUUUAAUGGUCGGAAUAGAACUCGUGACUGACCGGAAGGAGAAGACUCCUGCCAAGGCAGAAACUGCAGUUUUGUUUGAGAAACUCAGAGAGCUCGGGGUUCUAGUUGGGAAAGGAGGACUACAUGGAAAUGUUUUUCGAAUAAAACCACCAAUGUGUUUCACCAAAGACGAUGCAGAUUUUCUUGUGGAUGGCUUGGACUAUUCAAUGUCAAAGUUGUAAGGAUCAAAUCUGCUAGAGGCUGAGAUGAAUGUAUAAUACUCAAACCUUUUAGCAUCAAA